GCUUUUUUACAUUAAUGUGUCUUUUAUCCACAUGUUUCAUUUUCUGCAUGGCUAAAGUACCUAACCGUGUUUUAACUGUAAUGAGAGAAUGUCAGUGCCCUUAUAGUUGUAUAAGAAAUUUACAUCAGUGUCUGGUAGCUGGAGCAUGUCGUAUAUGUAAAACACCAAACUACGGCAAACGAGGGCUCCAGACUGCCGCCUACAGGGUGAGGGAUUUGAUGGCAGAAGAAGGAUAGUAAUGUCAUGCAACGAAAUCGGAAGAGAAAACUUAUUCCGAAAGCGAACAUUAAAAUUGACAAUGCUGUUACUCUCACUUUAUAUCUUUAAACUUCUUACGAACUUGUAAUUCUUAAAAUGUCUCUAUUAAAGUAAAAUUUGACCAUUUAUUCUAUUAUGUUUAAUUAAACAGAUUAAUAUACUGAUUAAAAACAAG